rnacentral:rRNA from 1 species
GUUGUUUAGUUGAAAAUCAAUUAAAUAAUUUUUGAUUUUGAGUAGUAUUGACUUCAUCAGCUUGCUGCUCUCUUUUCGGAAAUUAUUUAAUGCACUUUUCAGUUAACAAGUCAACAUCAAUUUCUUUUGUUGUAAAAAGGUAAGAGGAAGGUGGCUUACAUUUCGGUGUAAGUGUUUAUAGCCUUUUACCUCUGCAAUCGGAGAGAUUGAGGCCAGCAGCGUAGACUCUUCGGGGUUAGAUACGCUUGUGCUAAGCUAUAGCCUUGUAUAGACAACUUGUUGACUAUGCUCAGUCAUGUAGCUUACUCGCUUGCAGUAUUUUACCUAC